GAUCAAGGUAUCCCGGCUGUCUAGGAGAAUAGUAUGCUGGACUCCACGGGGCCUCCAUUUCAUUAUACCUCUGAUUAACUGAUUGUUGGGGCUGAGCUAUACCCAAAUGUGGUAUGUUAAGGUGACGCAAAUUGACCUGAGGUAUAGGCACCUCGUUACUCCUCAAAUUGUGGAGACAACCAUCAAGAGUCAUCUGACUAAAGCACUGCUCAGCACCAUGGAGAUCAUCCAAUGGACCUGUAACCUGAAAUUCAUUAUGUUGUCCCAUUCUGUAAUCUGGGGAUUCAUUAAGGCUAUUCAAAGCAUCCACAUACCUUCUCUCAUUUUCCCUCUCAUCCCCAUCACAGAAAUGCAAGGAUCCAUCUUGAUCAGGGUGCAAAAACAG
rnacentral:misc_RNA from 1 species